rnacentral:rRNA from 1 species
CAAUAGCGUAUAUUAAAGUUGUUGCGGUUAAAAAGCUCGUAGUUGGAUUUCUGCUGAGGACGAUCGGUCCGCCCACUGGGUGAGUAUCUGGCUCGGCCUUGGCAUCUUCUUGGAGAACGUUGCUGCACUUGACUGUGUGGCGCGGUAUCCAGGACUUUUACUUUGAGGAAAUUAGAGUGUUUCAAGCAGGCGCACGCCUUGAAUACAUUAGCAUGGAAUAAUGAGAUAGGACCUUGGUUCUAUUUUGUUGGUUUCUAGAGCUGAGGUAAUGAUUAAUAGGGAUAGUUGGGGGCAUUCGUAUUUAACUGUCAGAGGUGAAAUUCUUGGAUUUGAUAAAGACGGACUACUGCGAAAGCAUUUGCCAAGGAUGUUUUCAUUGA